rnacentral:rRNA from 1 species
CACGUAGGGCGCAAGCGUUGUCCGGAAUUAUUGGGCGUAAAGAGCUCGUAGGCGGUUCGUCGCGUCGGCUGUGAAAUCCCGAGGCUCAACCUCGGGUCUGCAGUCGAUACGGGCGGGACUGGAGUUGGCAGGGAGACUGGAAUUCCUGGUGUAGCGGUGAAAUGCGCAGAUAUCAGGAGGAACACCGGUGGCGAAGGCGGUCUCUGGGCAAUAACUGACGCUGGAGGAGCGAAGCGUGGGAGCGAACAGG